UACGAGGGGGGCGAGCGUUGUCCGGAAUUAUUGGGCGUAAAGAGCUCGUAGGCGGCCUGUUGCGUCCGCUGUGAAAUCCCGGGGCUUAACCCCGGGCUUGCAGUGGAUACGGGCAGGCUGGAGGCAGGCAGGGGAGAACGGAAUUCCCGGUGUAGCGGUGAAAUGCGUAGAGAUCGGAAAGAACACCAACGGCGAAAGCACUCUGCUGGGCCGACACUGACACUGAGAGACGAAAGCUAGGGGAGCGAAUGGG
rnacentral:rRNA from 1 species